rnacentral:rRNA from 1 species
UGUGGAUGAUCCGUCAAAUCCAACGACUCAAUCGUUGAACAGCGGAUUAUAUCGCAGGGCUAGGGGGCGGGAGAGGUGAGGAGUACUCCACGGGUAGGGGUAAAAUCCGCUGAUCCGUUGAAGACUAACAGUGGCGAAGGCGCCUCGCCAGAACGCGCUCGACGGUGAGGGAUGAAAGCUAGGGGAGCAAACCGGAUUAGAUACCCGGGUAGUCCUAGCCGUAAACGAUGCUUGCUAGGUGCUGGAAGGGCUAAGUGCUUUUCCAGUGCCGCAGGGAAGCCGUUAAGCAAGCCGCCUGGGGAGUACGGUCGCAAGGUUGAAACUUAAAGGAAUUGGCGGGGGAGCACCACAAGGGGUGAAGCCUGCGGUUCAAUUGGAGUCAACGCCCGGAACCUUACCAGGGGUGACAGCAGUUUGACGGUCAAGCUAAAGACUUUACCUGACAAGCUGAGAGGAGGUG